rnacentral:rRNA from 1 species
GUAAGGAAUAUUGGUCAAUGGGCGCAAGCCUGAACCAGCCAUGCCGCGUGCAGGAAGACGGCCCUCCGGGUUGUAAACUGCUUUUGUACGGGAAUAAACCUCUCUACGUGUAGGGAGCUGAAUGUACCGUAAGAAUAAGGAUCGGCUAACUCCGUGCCAGCAGCCGCGGUAAUACGGAGGAUCCAAGCGUUAUCCGGAUUUAUUGGGUUUAAAGGGUGCGUAGGCGGCCUGUUAAGUCAGGGGUGAAAGACGGUGGAUCAACCAUCGCAGUGCCCUUGAUACUGAUGGGCUUGAAUAGACUAGAGGUAGGCGGAAUGUGACAAGUAGCGGUGAAAUGCAUAGAUAUGUCACAGAACACCGAUUGCGAAGGCAGCUUACUAUGGUCUGAUUGACGCUGAGGCACGAAAGCGUGGGGAUCGAACAGGAUUAGAUACCCGUGUAGUCC